AUCAAAUUUACGUUUUCAUUAGCAUCUUCUAAUGUUAUUAUUAUUAUUAUUAAUUAUUUGUUUUCUAUAUUUAUAUUGUUCUCUGUGAGCAAUGCCUUGAAAAACUGAACCUGAAUAUAAGCAGAUGCUGAAAUUCUGUUACAUGCCGAAUAAACAUGAUUUGCAUGUUUUCAGAUGAACUGUAUGUCAGUGUCCAGCGGCUCUGAGCUGCGGAUCAUAAUCAAACAGCUUCAUAUGUGGACGCAUCAAACUCUCUCAACACUGAGAAAAAAAUCGAAUAAAAUAAACACUUGUGUCUCUAUCGGGUCGCUGUCUCUGGGAAUUAUGUCUCAACAAAAGCAGAAUUUUCUGUGUCUGAUGAUCAUCUUUUGUGCUUCAUGCCAGUUAAGUAUGUUGCUUUAAAAAUGCAUUUAUAGCUUAAAAAGAAUUAUAUGCCAAUGAAUAUGUUGUUUGGUGCACAUUAUAUGUCUGUGAAAGUAAAUGUGGGCAUAUCAAUUUUGACGUGUUAUACCAUGUUAUUAUCUAAUAGUUUAAUAAUGUUUAAUUGUGUUUGUGCAGCCUGCUCAGAAAAACUGCUAAUCCAAGUCAAUUCGACAGAUCAGUGUUUCUGGAACAGCAGUAACUCAACAGUUCCAGAUAUAAAAUGGACAUGUCUGACAGCUCAUGAACCAACAGGAAUUUUCACACUAAAUACCUCUUCUCUUGGACAAUGCAGAUCAUACAGUUUCAACAUAAAACAGAAGAACAAUUAUGAAAUCAGAAUGAAUGAGAUGAUUCAAGGCAUAAAACUGUGGUUAUUACCAAAUGGAUCUAAUUAUCUGUUUUCAUUCCAGAAUUCAUCAGCGAUUAAGGCUUGCCAGGCACAGGGUGGUAUAAUGAGCAUCAGCGUCAGAAUUGGAUGUGAGAACAUAGAUCCUGUUGAUCCUGAAGAGAAAUGUAAAAACGCCCAAUAUAACAGUGAUCUAUGCAGCGGGGAAGAAGAAAGCAGAUACAGAUACGUUCUGUAUUUAAAUGAGAGUGAAAGGAUUUGUGUGACCUGCGAUGAUGGAAGAUCAACCAGCAUUACUUCACUGUCACACACUAUAUCUUACAAUCCAACUACCAGUUUCACAUCACAUACGACAUUUGAGAAACCAAUUUCCACUGUCAAACCACCUGAGAUAACUUACAAUCUUACCGACGAGCAAAACAACGAGGUUGGAUAUACUGAACCUUCAAAGGCUUCAGAAAAGUUGACCAAAAUAAAGUCCCUGGUGGAGGGGAUGGAAAAAAACGAUACAACCAAUGCGGCGCUUAUCAUGGGGGAUGUUAUUGGUGUUCUUCUUAGACAACCCAUGGACAAGCCAACCAAAGAUAUCAACAUAUGCUACUCUUCACGUCAGAACAUGAUAAACGUAAGCCUGAGAGGCAUUAAAACAUGUCCCUCUUGGGAAGAAUUGACUAUUUAUUAAUGCCAUUUGUCCUGUUUGCAGCUUGUUGAGUAGCAGCCAGAAGACAGAAUUGCCUGGUGUGUAAAGAUAUAAAUCAAGACUGGAAAACAAAGGAAGUGCAUAUGUUGGAGUUUUACGGUUCGUGAACAUGGGAAACAAGGUUUGCAAUCUUCUUCAAAAAUUCUACUUCUGAACAUGUUUCUUGAACAUGUAUAUUUGAUUUCUGUAUUAUUAUAUGGUUUCUCAUUUAGAAUGAAACUGAAAUGCACACCGUUUUGAACAAUGAUAGUUAUGGAAUUACGAUGGGGGCUGAAAUCUCCCACCUUACCAACAAUAUUGACAUAUUCAUUAAAAAGGAUAACACGGUAAUGAAGGUUUUGUUGAACUUACUUUGUUACAAUGACCAGACAAUGUGAAAAUAAAAUAAAAAAUCAAGCGUGUUCUUACAGGUUGAUAAUCAUGCGUCCUGCGUUUCUUGGGACGAAAAAGGUAAAUUCGUGUAGGACUGUAUUGAUUAGUUCCUAUCAACAAACCCAGUUUAUUUUAUAUAAUUAUAAUUAGUUCUCUUUUCUUUGAAGGAGAGCUUAAUUGGACGACGUUCGGCUGUGAGACAAAAAUCGAAGACAACAUCAUAAAGUGCUCCUGCUCACAUCUGACCUUCUUUUCAGUGCUGAUGGUGAGAAGAAGAACUUACACUUUCAUCAUUCAUGUUUCAUUUAAAGAUCCCUUUAAUCUAGGGGUGUAUACACGUGUAUACAUGU
rnacentral:lncRNA from 1 species